rnacentral:miRNA from 1 species
CGGAUUGACAUGGUGUCAGA